AUUGAACGCUGGCGGCAGGCCUAACACAUGCAAGUCGAACGAGUGGCGGACGGGUGAGUAAUGUCUGGGAAACUGCCUGAUGGAGGGGGAUAACUACUGGAAAAGGUAGCUAAUACCGCAUACCAUCGGAUGUGCCCAGAUGGGAUUAGCUAGUGGGUGGGGUAAAGGCUCACCUAGGCGACGAUCCCUAGCUGGUCUGGGAGGAUGACCAGCCACACUGGAACUGAGACACGGUCCCGACGCCUACGGGAGGCAGCAGGGGGGAAUAUUGCACAAUGGGCGCAAGCCUGAUGCAGCCAUGCCGCGUGUAUGAAGAAGGCCUUCGGGUUGUAAAGUACUUUCAGCGGGGAGGCGUUACCCGCAGAAAAAGCACCGGCUAACUCCGUGCCAGCAGCCGCGGUAAUAC
rnacentral:rRNA from 1 species